rnacentral:lncRNA from 1 species
AAAAAAAAAAAAAAGGUGAAUUGGCUAAAAAUAAUUACCAGGCAACUCCACCUUUGCAGAAACAAGAUGAAAAAAAUCUAACAAGCCUGGCAUCGUGUACCCUUGGCAGUGAUGCUCUCAGAACACCAUUUGGUCCUGUGUCCAGGUAUUUCUGGAGGAUUCUGUAGACUAGAAGUCAGCUGAACCCACUUCUGGAAGGUGGCUGCAGCUGCCUCAAGAAAACCAUUCACCAAGGGCCUGUCCAAGUGCCUCAAGAACAGAAGGCCAGGCCUUCUGAGCCUGCCGCGUGGGCGUAUGACUGUUUUGGUAUCUGUUUCUACAAACAUAUGGAAGAAUUACGCCAGAGGCGAGCAUUCGUCAUGUGAUGGUAGAAAAUGGCCUGGAGCUGACUCUCCUUGGGCAUCAGAGACCUGCUGGUCUACACUAUAGCCACAGCACCAUGGGAUCCAAACCUCAUCAGCAACGUACACUGCAGAUCUCAGCAACGCCGCAUCCUUAAACCACUGAAUGAGGCCAGGGAUCAAACCCACAUCCUCAUGGAUACUAGUCAGGUUCGUUUCUGCUGAGCCACAGCGGGAGCUCCCCUAUCUCAGAAUGAGCGUGAGUGACCGGAUGCCUUUGGUUUGCACCCUGAGGAUUUUUCUCCGAACAGUUUUCUAGAUCCAUGACAGCCCAUUGAAUGAAGGAAUACCACCUGCCCCUGGCCUCUGUGUCUUGUCUACAUCUGUCUCUGCUGUUCAGCAUCCAUGCAGUUCAUGGUGUUUGCUCCCAGGGUGUCCUGUCCAGGGCCCUGUUGUCCUCACUUUACAGAGUCCUUGAGAGGCGUAGGACCUGGGGAGUAAGCGGGAGGCGGGGGGGUCUCAAUUCUCAGUUGAGUGCGGCUGCCUGGGGACCCAGGAAUAGCCAUGUCUAUGGAGCAGAGGAGAGAAAGGAGAAUUGGGGGAGGGUAGCUCUGCUGAGCAGGGGCUGUGGGCAGCCACGGAGGGUCUCAGGCUCCUCAGGGGUCCAGGGGCCCAUGGGGGACAGUUCGAAAGCACAAACAGCCAGCCCCACCUGCUUCCCCCCGGAUCCUGGGGGCUUCAUUAGGGGGAUCAGCGCAGAUGGGGGGGUCCACUCAUGGGGGAAGAGUGUGUGCCCUGCAGCACCUUUGGUCCCCGCUGGCCCCUCUGGAGGCAGAAACCCCUUCCUCUCCACUGUGGGAGCCCCCCACCCCCCCCCCCCAGAUCUCGGGUCCUCGCCUGCCCGCCCAGCCCAGAGAGGCAGGAAGCAGAAGCCAGCCACCCUUCGGGACACACACCCAAGGCAGCUUCUGGGAAAGACCAGGGCGACUGGCAGAAAUCUACUUAGCCGGGAAGGCUUUCAUUGUCUCCUCAAAACCUCAAAAGCCAAAGGCAACUAAUGAGUCUGGGAAACACUCGGAAGUUUCUGAAUGGAGAAAGCGAAUAAAUAUGGAAUGACAAACAUGCCUUAAUUCCUCCAGGGCUGGUUCCCACCCCGGGAGAGGAACGCUGGUAUUCCAUCAGCCUUUGAGAAAUUCAUAAAGGCAAUGGGAUUCCAUGCAAGGCAUUUCCAGUAGGGCCCUAGUUCUACCAACGCUAAUUAACCAGGCAGCCUCCAGAUACCUCCCCAGGCCUCAUUUUUGGAAACUACCCCUGCCUUACUUACGGGUUUUAAACAAUGCAAUGGUUGUGAAACCUCUUUGAAAACUAUCAAAUUCUGGAAAACACAAAUGUCAUAUCAUGACAUUAUUCGCCAUCAAAAUACGACACGCAUCACAAAUUUAAGAAAGAUUAAAAAAUGAACACACUUCAUAGGAUGACACCAAAUACACAUGGCACAUUCAGCCUGUUCCUACCAAAAUAAUAAUAUCAUGCCUUGACUUCAUUCCUGUCGUUAUUUGACUAUUGUUUGAAUGUUUUAGAGUUGGACAAUUAGAAUAUGCUCGGUUAAGCGUCAUUUCCCUUUCCUGCUCAUGGGAACAGUGGAUUUCUAAAUGACAGAGUCAUUACUGUCUAUACUGGCCACAAUAAACAAACAGCAUCACCAAAGUGCGAUACAAUGGUCCCACAUAACCCCUUCCUGUCACGUGUUCAACAAUCAGUAACAAGGCUCGGAGGGCUGACAUGUCCCUUUCAGAUUCCCAGCGCCCCUGGCUUACCUCGACGAGAUUCCAGGAAUCCUCUGUGAUCUGAAAGGAUUACCCACAGGGUCCACCAAGGGCUGGAUCUUCAUCUCCCGCAUUGUAGUAAUUGCCACGCACAGCCCUUCCCGGGAGCUCGAUGGCCACCAGAUGGUCGAACCUGCCAGGCGGCAAGGGCACAGGGUCCUUCCAGAAAGCCAAGUGCCUGGCUGGGUCAUGCCAUCCUGUGUUUGGGCCAAGGACCCUUCGCUCUGCGUUUCUUUCAUUCCUACAGAACUUGGUUGAACAUCUACUGUGUGCCUGAGCCCGGCUGGGGGCUAGUCUAUCAGAUCAUUCUAAGGAACAGUGUCAGAAUCUUCGACAGUUUACUAGAGGCAGAGGUUGAGAGCGGGAAGCUGACGGGCAGGGUUACCACAGUGGACGCUGCUGGUGCCCCACCCAGGUCUCCGUUAACCCGCGGCGGGCAGCCAGUACCCAGUGGAUUGAGUGUCAGCUGCUAGGGACCCACAGCAGCCCUCUUCCAGGAUCUUGUUCAGUGUACAGAAACAAAACAGGUUAAAAAGGAAUGGAAACAGAAGACAAAUAACUCUAACACAAGAUAGACAUCUUCCAACAGAAAGCGUUAGAGAGAGAAGGCUGUGCAGGCAGGAUGCUGGUAAGAUCAUGGGUUGUGAAAUCAGAUUGUGCUGGGUCCAGGUCCUGAGGCUACAGGCCUUCAGCAAGUCACUUGAAUGCUGUAACCCUCGUUUUCUGCAUUUGUCAGGCU